GACGAACGCUGGCGGCGUGCUUAAUACAUGCAAGUCGAACGGAAAGGCCCUGCUUUUGUGGGGUGCUCGAGUGGCGAACGGGUGAGUAACACGUGAGUAACCUGCCCCUGACUUUGGGAUAACUCCAGGAAACUGGGGCUAAUACCGGAUAGGAGCUCUUGCUGCAUGGUGGGGGUUGGAAAGUUUCGGCGGUUGGGGAUGGACUCGCGGCUUAUCAGCUUGUUGGUGGGGUAGUGGCUUACCAAGGCUUUGACGGGUAGCCGGCCUGAGAGGGUGACCGGCCACAUUGGGACUGAGAUACGGCCCAGACUCCUACGGGAGGCAGCAGUGGGGAAUAUUGCACAAUGGGCGGAAGCCUGAUGCAGCAACGCCGCGUGCGGGAUGACGGCCUUCGGGUUGUAAACCGCUUUCGCCUGUGACGAAGCGUGAGUGACGGUAAUGGGUAAAGAAGCACCGGCUAACUACGUG
rnacentral:rRNA from 1 species